UACAGAGGGUGCUAGCGUUAAUCGGAUUUACUGGGCGUAAAGCGUGUGUAGGCGGUUCGUUAAGUCGGAUGUGAAAGCCCUGGGCUCAACCUAGGAAUUGCAUUCGAUACUGGCGGGCUAGAGUACGGUAGAGGGCGGCGGAAUUCCGGGUGUAGCGGUGAAAUGCGUAGAUAUCCGGAGGAACACCGAUGGCGAAGGCAACCGCCUGGGCCUGUACUGACGCUGAGACACGAAAGCGUGGGGAGCAAACAGGAUUAGAUACCCGAGUAGU
rnacentral:rRNA from 1 species